rnacentral:rRNA from 2 species
GAUGAGCCAAGAUUUGUAGCCAUAAGCUACUAAUGAUUUUUAACUGAAGAGUUUGAUCAUGGCUCAGAUUGAACGCUGGCGGCAGGCUUAACACAUGCAAGUCGAGCGGGGAAAGGUAGCUUGCUACCUUACCUAGCGGCGGACGGGUGAGUAAUGCUUAGGAAUCUGCCUAUUAGUGGGGGACAACAUUUCGAAAGGAAUGCUAAUACCGCAUACGCCCUACGGGGGAAAGCAGGGGACCUUCGGGCCUUGCGCUAAUAGAUGAGCCUAAGUCGGAUUAGCUAGUUGGUGGGGUAAAGGCCUACCAAGGCGACGAUCUGUAGCGGGUCUGAGAGGAUGAUCCGCCACACUGGGACUGAGACACGGCCCAGACUCCUACGGGAGGCAGCAGUGGGGAAUAUUGGACAAUGGGGGGAACCCUGAUCCAGCCAUGCCGCGUGUGUGAAGAAGGCCUUUUGGUUGUAAAGCACUUUAAGCGAGGAGGAGGCU